CUAGGUAGAGCUCAGUGGUAGAGUACAUGCUUAGUGUGCAUGAGGUCCUGGGUUUAAUCCCUAGUACCUCCA
rnacentral:tRNA from 1 species